UACGUAGGGGGCUAGCGUUGCUCGGAAUCACUGGGCGUAAAGGGUGCGUAGGCGGGUCUUUAAGUCAGGGGUGAAAUCCUGGAGCUCAACUCCAGAACUGCCUUUGAUACUGAAGAUCUUGAGUCCGGGAGAGGUGAGUGGAACUGCGAGUGUAGAGGUGAAAUUCGUAGAUAUUCGCAAGAACACCAGCGGCGAAGGCGGCUCACUGGCCCGGUACUGACGCUGAGGCACGAAAGCGUGGGGAGCAAACAGG
rnacentral:rRNA from 1 species